CAGAGUGGUCUCUGUUACCUAAGUUUAUCGAAGGAUGGAUUGAAGAGAAUGGAACCGCGCCUGUGAAACCAGGCACGGGACUUACGGUUGCUGUUAAAACUCUCAAUCAUGACGGGCAGAAGUAAAUUACUAAGGUGAUCUCAUUCAUCCAAAUUUGGUUAAAUUGAUUGGUUACUGCAUUGAAGAUGAUCAACGUCUGCUAGCAUAUGAGUUCAUGCCUCGAGGGAGCUUGGAGAAUCAUUUAUUUAGAAGGUCUUUGCCUCUUCCAUGGUCCAUCAGAAUGAAAAUUGCAUUUGGAGCUGCAAAGGGUCUUGCUUUUCUUCACGAAGAAGCAUUAAAACCUGUGAUAUAUCGUGAAUUCAAAACC